rnacentral:rRNA from 1 species
GUCUACAGCCAUGCCACCCUGAACAAGCCAAUGUCUGAUCUUGGAAGCUAAGCAGGGUCUGGCCUGGUUAGUACCUGGUGGGGAGACCACCUAGGAGGACCAGGUGCUGUAGGCA